UGUCGGUGAACGAGCAGUACAUCCGGAGACUGGCAGCAGAAGCCACAGAAUGGCAGCGAUCCGGAGCCCCUCCACCUUCCGGGUCUGCAGUCAGUACUGCUCCCCAGCCUAAGCCAGCUGACAAAAUGUCAAAGAAUAAGAAGAAGAAAUUGAAGAAGAAGCAGAAGCGCCAGGCAGAAUUACUAGAGAAGCGAAUGCAGGAAAU